AUUUAAAGUCUAGCCUGCCCACUGAAAUUAAUUUUAAUGGCCGCAGUAUUUUGACUGUGCAAAGGUAGCAUAAUCAUUAGUUUUUUAAUUGAAAGCUUGUAUGAAAGGUUGGACGAGGUAAAAUCUGUCUCUAUUUAAUUUAUUUUAGAAUUUAAUUUUUAAGUUAAAAAGCUUAAAUUUUAUUAAAAGACGAGAAGACCCUAUAGAUCUUUAUAAUUUUUGUUAUAAAUUUAAUUAUGAAUUAUUUAGAAUUUAUAAUAUAAAUUAUUUUAUUGGGGUAAUAAAAAGAUUAAAAUAAUUCUUUUUUAUUUUUAACAUUAAUUUAUGAAUUUAAUGAUCCAAUUUUAUUGAUUAUAAGAUUAAGUUACCUUAGGGAUAACAGCGUAAUUUUUUUAGAGAGUUCAUAUCGAUAAAAAAGUUUGCGACCUCGAUGUUGGAUUAAAGAUUAGUUUAGGUGUAGAAGUUUAAAUUUUUGGUCUGUUCGACCAUUAAAUCUUUACAUGAUCUGAGUUCAGACCGGCGUAAGCCAGGUCGGUUUCUAUCUUUAAUAAUUUUAAAAUAUUUUAGUACGAAAGGACCAAAUAUUUAAUAUAUUUAUAUUUUAUUUUUUGAAUAUUAUU
rnacentral:rRNA from 1 species